GACGAACGCUGGCGGCGUGCUUAACACAUGCAAGUCGAACGGAAAGGCCCUGCUUUUGUGGGGUGCUCGAGUGGCGAACGGGUGAGUAACACGUGAGUAACCUGCCCUUGACUUUGGGAUAACUUCAGGAAACUGGGGCUAAUACCGGAUAGGAGCUCCUGCUGCAUGGUGGGGGUUGGAAAGUUUCGGCGGUUGGGGAUGGACUCGCGGCUUAUCAGCUUGUUGGUGGGGUAGUGGCUUACCAAGGCUUUGACGGGUAGCCGGCCUGAGAGGGUUACCGGCCACAUUGGGACUGCGAUACGGCCCAGACUCCUACGGGCGGCAGCAGUGGGGAAUAUUGCACAAUGGGCGGAAGCCUGAUGCAGCAACGCCGCGUGCGGGAUGACGGCCUUCGGGUUGUAAACCGCUUUCGCCUGUGACGAAGCGUGAGUGACGGUAAUGGGUAAAGAAGCACCGGCUAACUACGUG
rnacentral:rRNA from 1 species